GUAGAAGAUGCUCUCACUGCUGAGUGCUCAAGUUUGUUUACUUGAUUAUGAUGUGAGCUUUGCAUAAGCUUCGGUACUUGUACCUAGCACAAAGCCAUCCAAACAAAACUUUGGCAUAAUUCUGUGUUCUGUUUCGAUCUCCGUUUUGUGAUAAAUAAAAAUGGGAAAGAAAACUAUGAAACAAGGUUGUUAAUGUUGAGCGUAUAAAAGACGCCUACUCUAAGCACAAACUAGUGAAUGAGAAUGAUGUUCCUGAAGCACCCAAAGCACCGAACCAGAUAUCAGAGUCAAAAAACGCUCUUCCGGUGGCCACAGAUAAGUCAAAAACAGAAACCGACGCUGCCAAGGUUUUAAAUGAAAACUAUGAAAUCCAACCUAACCCAUUGGAAUCUAGUUCAUUACCGACUGUAACAGAUGUUUCUGGAACAUACCGUGGGUUCGUGUCCGAACAUGUAUUGGACCAAAAUGUUUUUAAAAUGGGAUCUAACUCUCUGCAUGAAAUAAUGUCUUCAUCAAUUGGAAUAGAAAUAAGUGAAACGGAAAACGCUUAUAGCAGUAUUAUAUUCAACGAAAGAGGAGAUACUGGCAAAAUUGACAUGCUUUCUCCGGCUGAAGCAGAAACAUUUGUAAAACAAAAUGGGUUCAUUUAAUCGGUAUAUUAUCUUCGACAAAGAUAGUUUGUAUUUAAAAAAAAAGAAAAAUACUCCGUAAACCAAAUUCUGAAAAAAGUAUUUCUAG